GGGGAUGUAGCUCAAACGGUAAAGUGCUCGCUUAGCAUGCAACUGGUACGAGGUUCGAUUCCCCGCAUCUCCA
rnacentral:tRNA from 1 species